GAUGAACGCUGGCGGCGUGCCUAAUACAUGCAAGUCGAGCGCACGGACGAGAAACUUGCUUUUCUGAUGUUAGCGGCGGACGGGUGAGUAACACGUGGAUAACCUACCUAUAAGACUGGGAUAACUUCGGGAAACCGGAGCUAAUACCGGCUAAUACUGUGAACCGCAUUGUUCAAAAGUGAAAGACGGUCUUGCUGUCACUUAUAGAUGGAUCCGCGCUGCAUUAGCUAGUUGGUAAGGUAACGGCUUACCAAGGCAACGAUGCAUAGCCGACCUGAGAGGGUGAUCGGCCACGCAAGAACUGAGACACGGUCCAAACUCCUACGGAGGGCAGCAGAAGGGAAUAUUGCGCAAUGGGCGAAGGCCUGACGGGGCAAGGCCGGGUGAGUGAUGCAGGUCUUCGGAUCGUAAAACUCUUUUAUUGGGGAAGAACAUGUUUGUAAGUAACUGUGCACAUCUUGACGGUACCUAAUCAGAAAGCCACGGCUAACUACGUG
rnacentral:rRNA from 1 species